AAGCCGGCGUCGGAGCGCCGAUCGCAGCGCCGUGGUCCCCACCUCCUCACGUCGUCGGAGUGCGCAACGGAGGCCGCAGGGUCCCCACCUCCUCACGUCGUCGGAGUGGGCAACGGAGGACGCAGGGACCGGUGGCGGCCGGUGUCGCUGGGGCAAUUCCUGCGACCGCCUUCUUAGCGGGAUUGUGUGUGUAGAUAUUUGUUUUGUCAUGUCGACAAGGACAUGUAUCUAUGUCAUACAAAACAAUAAAAAGCAAAGCCAGUCUAGGCAAACAUCAAAGGAACAAACUAACACAUGUUUAAGUAAUCAGUUGGCAAAGAGGCCUUACAUAUGUUUAUGUUUCUCAUGUAACUAGCAAUUAUGAUUAUAUAAAAAUUUCUAUUGUUUAUCUUAUGAUUUUAUUGGCUUGAGUUCCGUAGCAGGGCAUCAUCUACUCCCUCCGUUUCGAAAUAUAAGUCUUUUAAGAUAUUUCAUUAGGGAAAAUACAUACGGCUGUAUAUAGACAUAUUUUAGACUAUAGAUUCACUUAUUUUGCUUCGUACGUAGCCCUUUAAUCAAACCCCUUCAAAGACUUAUAUUUAGAAAUAAGGCGCUGUGCAUCAUCUAGUAGCAGUUGCUGCAGCUCGUCAUCAGCUUCGGAUUAUGCGUGUAAUAUAAACCCAAUAGGUUGAAGCACACUUGCAUGGAGUAAUUAGCUAAGCGCAGGCGUCGAUGCAUGCCCCGCCGGCUUCGCGCUCGUCAUCUUGUUGAUCUCCCAGCUCCAGCUCCUCGUCGGCGGAG
rnacentral:lncRNA from 1 species